GUGGGUAUACGGACUACACUCCCAACCCCUGUGACAUACCUUAAUGUUGCCUCGGCGGAUCAGCCCGCGCCCCGUAAAACGGGACGGCCCGCCAGAGGACCCAAACUCUAAUGUUUCUUAUUGUAACUUCUGAGUAAAACAAACAAAUAAAUCAAAACUUUCAACAACGGAUCUCUUGGUUCUGGCAUCGAUGAAGAACGCAGCAAAAUGCGAUAAGUAAUGUGAAUUGCAGAAUUCAGUGAAUCAUCGAAUCUUUGAACGCACAUUGCGCCCGCUGGUAUUCCGGCGGGCAUGCCUGUUCGAGCGUCAUUUCAACCCUCAAGCCCCCGGGUUUGGUGUUGGGGAUCGGCUCUGCCCUUCUGGGCGGUGCCGCCCCCGAAAUACAUUGGCGGUCUCGCUGCAGCCUCCAUUGCGUAGUAGCUAACACCUCGCAACUGGAACGCGGCGCGGCCAUGCCGUAAAACCCCAACUUCUGAAUGUUGACCUCGGAUCAGGUAGGAAUACCCGCUGAACUUAAGCAUAUCAAAA
rnacentral:rRNA from 2 species